AUGCAAACUCCAGGUGAUUUACAGGGAGGGGAGGGGAGGAGAGGGACGGGCGCGGAAGGAAAUGGCUUUCAGGUGACUUUGAAACAGGAUCCGGGCAGAGGGUGGGGUGAAGACAGCGGGGCUGUUGGCUCCCGACUACGGGGGAAGGAGUAAGCGCUGGCCCUGGUCGGCCCCGGAAGCGGGACCCACAUUCCUCGGGGAGGGAGGGUCGGCUCCGACCUUGCAGAGCCCUACAUUCGCCUCCUGGAAAGGUGAAAGCCGAGAUUGCGGAAGGAGUUUGGGGGUAAACAGCCGCCGCGGCUCCACCAGAGAGCCUGCCAGGGCCCCCCGCCGAAGAGAAAAUGUGAACUACUACCACCUGUUCCAGAAUUACCCUGCUGCCUGUAAUCAGAAUCUAUCAGAAUCCUGUCAGAAUCUUUGGUGGGCAGGCCCCAGCUCUGCAUUUCCCCAAAUGCACUGAAUGAAGUUCAGCGUACCACCGUAACACCGUGCCUUACAAGACUGUGAUUCAGAGCCUUGUGGCUCCAGGCUUCCUGAAAGGAAUAAAAUGGAAAGUCUGUGAGAACAUCAAGGCUCAGAGAGGUCAAGUCACAUGUCCCACGUUACAUAGCUCUUAACGGCAGAUGCAGGACAUGUUCCCAG